rnacentral:rRNA from 1 species
UACGUAGGCAGCGAGCGUUGUUCGGAGUUACUGGGCGUAAAGGGUGUGUAGGCGGUUGCUUAAGUUUGGUGUGAAAUCUCCCGGCUCAACUGGGAGGGUGCGCCGAAUACUGAGUGACUCGAGUGCGGGAGAGGAGAGUGGAAUUCCAGGUGUAGCGGUGAAAUGCGUAGAUAUCAGGAGGAACACCGGUGGUGUAGACGGCUCUCUGGACCGUAACUGACGCUGAGACACGAAAGCGUGGGUAGCAAACAGG